rnacentral:rRNA from 1 species
UGCUAUCGGAUUGAUACUAAGCCAUGCGAGUCAUUGUAGUAAUACAAGGCAGACGGCUCAGUAACGCGUAGUCAACCUAACCUAUGGACGGGGAUAAUCUCGGGAAACUGAGCAUAAUACCCGAUAGAACAUUAUACCUGGAAUGGUUUAUGUUCCAAAUGAUUUAUCGCCGUAGGAUGGGACUGCGGCCUAUCAGUUUGUUGGUGAGGUAAUGGCCCACCAAGACUAUUACAGGUACGGGCUCUGAGAGGAGUAGCCCGGAGAUGGGUACUGAGACACGGACCCAGGCCCUAUGGGGCGCAGCAGGCGAGAAAACUUUGCAAUGUGCGAAAGCACGACAAGGUUAAUCCGAGUGGUUUCUGCUAAAGGAACCUUUUGACAGUCCUAGAAACACUGUUGAAUAAGGGGUGGGCAAGUUCUGGUGUCAGCCGCCGCGGUAAAACCAGCACCUCAAGUGGUCAGGAUGAUUAUUGGGCCUAAAGCAUCCGUAGCCGGCUCUGUAAGUUUUCGGUUAAAUCUGUACGCUCAACGUACAGGCUGCCGGGAAUACUGCAGAGCUAGGGAGUGGGAGAGGUAGACGGUACUCGGUAGGAAGGGGUAAAAUCCUUUGAUCUAUUGAUGACCACCUGUGGCGAAGGCGGUCUACCAGAACACGUCCGACGGUGAGGGAUGAAAGCUGGGGGAGCAAACCGGAUUAGAUACCCGGGUAGUCCCAGCUGUAAACUAUGCAAACUCAGUGAUGCAUUGGCUUGUGGCCAAUGCAGUGCUGCAGGGAAGCCGUUAAGUUUGCCGCCUGGGAAGUACGUACGC